AGCCUUAUAGCUAGCCCAAUCAAACAACCUCAACCACCCCCUGUUAAUAACCCCUAAGUACACCAGUAUUCAUAUAAACAAACCAUUUUUCCCCCUUAGUACAGGAGAUAGAAACGGACCCCCGACGCAAUAGAGAAAGUACCGCAAGGGAACGCUGAAAGAGAGAUGAAAAAGACCAGUAAAGCCUAAAAAAGCAGAGACUAGAACUCGUACCUUUUGCAUCAUGAUUUAGCAAGUGUAGCUCAAGCAAAGCGUGCUUUAGUUUGAUAUCCCGAAACUAGGUGAGCUACUCCAAGACAGCCUAUUAAUAGGGCACACCCGUCUCUGUGGCAAAAGAGUGGGAAGAGCUUUGAGUAGAGGUGAUAGACCUACCGAACCUAGUUAUAGCUGGUUGUUCAAGAAAUGAAUAGAAGUUCAGCCUCCCGGCUUCUCUUUUCACCCUGGAUUAACCCCCAUCGAUGUACUGAAGAAACCGGGGGAGUUAGUCAAAGGGGGUACAGCCCCUUUGAACCAAGACACAACUUUACCAGGAGGGUAAAGAUCAUA
rnacentral:rRNA from 1 species